GAUGAACGCUGACAGAAUGCUUAACACAUGCAAGUCAACUUGAAUUUGGGUUUUUAACUUAGGUUUGGGUGGCGGACGGGUGAGUAACGCGUAAAGAACUUGCCUCACAGCUAGGGACAACAUUUGGAAACGAAUGCUAAUACCUAAUAUUAUGAUAAUAGGGCAUCCUAUAAUUAUGAAAGCUAUAAGCGCUGUGAGAGAGCUUUGCGUCCCAUUAGCUAGUUGGAGAGGUAACGGCUCACCAAGGCGAUGAUGGGUAGCCGGCCUGAGAGGGUGAUCGGCCACAAGGGGACUGAGACACGGCCCUUACUCCUACGGGAGGCAGCAGUGGGGAAUAUUGGACAAUGGACCGAGAGUCUGAUCCAGCAAUUCUGUGUGCACGAUGAAGUUUUUCGGAAUGUAAAGUGCUUUCAGUUGGGAAGAAAAAAAUGACGGUACCAACAGAAGAGGUGACGGCUAAAUACGUGCCAGCAGCCGCGGUAAUACGUAUGUCACGAGCGUUAUCCGGAUUUAUUGGGCGUAAAGCGCGUCUAGGUGGUUAUAUAAGUCUGAUGUGAAAAUGCAGGGCUCAACUCUGUAUUGCGUUGGAAACUGUAUAACUAGAGUACUGGAGAGGUAAGCGGAACUACUAGUGUAGAGGUGAAAUUCGUAGAUAUUUGUAGGAAUGCCGAUGGGGAAGCCAGCUUACUGGACAGAUACUGACGCUGAAGCGCGAAAGCGUGGGUAGCAAACAGG
rnacentral:rRNA from 1 species